rnacentral:rRNA from 1 species
GUACGGGAGGCAGCAGUGGGGAAUAUUGCACAAUGGGCGCAAGCCUGAUGCAGCGACGCCGCGUGGGGGAUGACGGCCUUCGGGUUGUAAACCUCUUUCAGCUACGACGAAGCGCAAGUGACGGUAGUAGCAGAAGAAGCACCGGCCAACUACGUGCCAGCAGCCGCGGUAAUACGUAGGGUGCGAGCGUUGUCCGGAAUUACUGGGCGUAAAGAGCUCGUAGGUGGUUUGUCGCGUUGUCCGUGAAAACUCGCAGCUUAACUGUGGGCGUGCGGGCGAUACGGGCAGACUGGAGUACUGCAGGGGAGACUGGAAUUCCUGGUGUAGCGGUGGAAUGCGCAGAUAUCAGGAGGAACACCGGUGGCGAAGGCGGGUCUCUGGGCAGUAACUGACGCUGAGGAGCGAAAGCGUGGGGAGCGAACAGGAUUAGAUACCCUGGUAGC